rnacentral:rRNA from 1 species
GAUGAACGCUAGCGGCAGGCUUAAUACAUGCAAGUCGAGGGGUAGCAAGAUUGUAGCAAUACAAUUGUUGACGACCGGCAAACGGGUGCGGAACACGUACACAACCUUCCUACAAGUGGGGAAUAGCCCAGAGAAAUUUGGAUUAAUACCCCGUAACAUAAUGAUGUGGCAUCACAUUAUUAUUAUAGCUACGGCGCUUAUCGAUGGGUGUGCGGCUGAUUAGAUAGUUGGCGGGGUAACGGCCCACCAAGUCUACGAUCAGUAGCUGAUGUGAGAGCAUGAUCAGCCACACGGGCACUGAGACACGGGCCCGACUCCUACGGGAAGCAGCAGUAAGGAAUAUUGGUCAAUGGACGCAAGUCUGAACCAGCCAUGCCGCGUGAAGGAUUAAGGUCCUCUGGAUUGUAAACUUCUUUUAUCUGGGACGAAAAAAGGCGAUUCUUCGUCACUUGACGGUACCAGAUGAAUAAGCACCGGCUAACUCCGUGCCAGCCGCCGCAGUAACAC